rnacentral:lncRNA from 1 species
UCUCCUCCACCCAAAAAUCCUCCUAAAUUGCCAGUCUGCGCACCUGCCGGCGGAACCCUAGCUCUGGAGCGACUGCCAGAUCAGGACGGCUGAAUCGGCGGCUCCUUCCCCGGCGCCGCACUUCGGAGGCUUGCGCUGCCCGGCGCGUCCCCCGCCCGCAUCUUUCACCUUCAGGAUUCACGCCGCUCCGACCCGAGGGCUUUGGAGGCUUGCUGUUGCUGCCCUCCUCUUCACCGCUGUGCGUGCACACGUAUGAUUUUGACCUUGGUAGCACCAGUCUCUCUCUCUGAUCUUGGCCCUUCUGUCGUUGAUGCCCCGGUGCUAUUUCUGCUGUCCUUAUGCAAUGCAAUUCAUUCAUUCACGAACACAAUUGAUUCUGGUUAUUCAUGCACCAACUACUAUUCUACUAUGCAAUUAGUAUUUGCUGUUAGAUGUCAAUGGACCAUCAAAACUUCGGGAUUUUGUUCUUGUAUAAGCUGCUAACUCUUCAAUCGUUGCUAGAUAGGCUGUCAUGCUUUCAAUUUUCAAUGUAAAUAGGUGCUAUUUCAGAUCACAGACCCCAUGUUUAAUACUAGUCCAUUGCAAGAAUUGUAAUAUUCAAGGAGGUGUCCAGGCUCAAUAGCGGUCUGUAUUUCAUAACCAUAGGUUUAUGCUACUUAUGAUGAAUUCCUAAUAAAAUGUUAUUUUUGUUGCAACUUCACACUUUUCAGGAGUCUGAUAUGCUUGUUCCAGUUUAGUGCAGCCACACCCUAUUAAUUCCAUUUUCUCUGAUGCACGGUGGUCGGACGGUAGUCACCUCUACCUUCUGUCGCAGCGUAUCCAGGUCAGCAUUGCGGCUUCCUUGACAAUAAAAUUAUGCAACCGUCCACUACAAUUUUUCCUUUGUGACCUCUCUCUCUCUCUCUCUCUCUCUCUCUCUCUCUCUAUAUAUAUAUAUAUAUAUAUAUAUAUAUAUAUAUAUAUAUACUCGGCUUUAGUGACAGUCUUGCUGAUCUUAGGCAAUCAACAUUCUCUCCGCUUACUUAUCAGAUGGGCGUAGCUUUGAUGAUUUAAUCUGAUAUAAAGAUGACACACUAGUACGUAGAUGUACACAGAAAAUUUCCAGUUAGUUUGUACAUGACUGAUCCUCUCCGUGCAAAAAUUGAUGAUGCAUAGUUGGUAGGAAAAUUUGUGAGGAGCUAAAACUGCAGUUUUCCCUUACUGCCCAAUGCAAGUUCCCGGUUUCAUUCUGGAUUAUUAUUGUAGCCUUAAGUUUUUAUUUGGUAAACAUUGCACCUAAUUUACGAUGAAGUGCAUCCAUCAAGCAAAUUGUUUGACUGUUAAUACAGAGCAAACAUAUCAGAAUAGGUGAUAUUGGAGUCCAUUGGAUGUUGCUCCAAUCAAGUUAAGAUCAACUAAGUUACUAGGAACCUGGAUGCCCUGCAAGAUACACAAAUCUAUCUUUGAAGCGCGUGAGAUCUAGACGUGCAUCCUUCUUUUCAAGGAUUCUUGUCUGGUCAUAAUGUAUUGUGGUUUAAAUGUGGGAUUUAAGUGAUAACUGAACUUUAGCUUCGAACAAAACAAUGGUGUGUUGGUCUGUACAGCCAGACAUUUUUGUUGCAUUCCAUGCUUUUCGAUCAAUGAUUUUGACGUGUUCGUCCAGCAUGUUUACUGUUUUUGUGUUGUAAUUGUUUAUACAUAUAUUGAUGGUCAGUUAUGAUAUGGUUGUCUGUUUGCAUAAUGGUCAGUUAUGUAAUGGAGGUAUCUUAAUGAUGUACUAGGGCAUAAUGUCGUUGUAGUCAAAGAGCUGCUAUUCUUUGUGCACGUGUUGGAUGGAACGGGUAGAAGCCAUUCUUUAAUGUGUGGUUAUCCUUAAUUUAUAUCUUCCUUAUUUCACAUCACGAAAAGUGUUAAGUCCCUCUUUUGUCCACAUGAACUGCCCUCCUUUGCCACAUAGAAGGCAUCAAGCACUCUAUGGAAGCAUCCAAUCUCGCCGCUCUGCCAACUUCGCCUGAACGCUGACUGCCAAUGCUCCAUAUACCGUCAUACAAUCUUGCCAUUCUACCUACUUCGCCGGAACACCGACCGCCGCUCCAUCUGAGGUAUGCUGGAUCACAUGCCAAGCUAAAUGCGUCUCCGUUGUUUUUGAAAAAGACAUGAUUUUUAGCUUCCAUCGUUAUUACCUUGCCAUGUACGUACAGUCUGCAAAGUUUGCAAACAAAAAGUGAAACCUAUAAUGAUGAGUGAUGACUACGGUAUUAUAUCUAUUUAAUUACCAGGAUUAAAUCUUCAUGACUGCAAACGUUAGACGGUAGUAUGCAAGUUUAGAGAGGGACAUAUCAAGUUUACUAUGAACUCAAACAGGACAGGUUUGACAAACAACACACUUCAGGCUCUUUAUUUGAUUAUUAUUAUUUUAGGGAGCAAAGAUGCACACCUGCCUUUCUUGCGCUGUGCUGAGAGUAUAUAAUUUCAUUCUGAUUAGCUUGUUGGUUGGUAACCUAUACUGCUACUAAGUUGCCGUUGCCUUGUCUGAUCUGAUACUUGUUAUUGCAGCCCUAAUAUGAUGCCAAUUAUAUCUAAAAUCAGUGUACACUAUGUUUCUGUAGUUAUGCUAAUUGGGUUGGAAUGAACAUAAAUCAACCGAGUAUAUUUUUACAUGGCCUUAUACUAUGCUUUUUUGGGUAGGCUGUUUUCAAUUGGACUACAAAUCAGUGUUAUUUUCAUGCAUGAAAGAAGCGCUCGACCUUAUUACUAACUAACAUGUAAACAUUUGUGCUGCCUUUAGAUAUCAGGAUUUUUUACAAGAACUUAACAUCUUUUUGCUGUACAUUUCAGUUACAAAUUGAAUUUAACAUGUCAGUUGAGUAAGCUGCUGAGUUAGCAUGGC